rnacentral:lncRNA from 1 species
UUAAGCAUUCUAUUUUGUGUGGUUUUGUCUUCAAAAGAAUUGAGACUAGGUACAUAUAGCAAUAAAUUUAUAAUUCCACAAUCUAUAUGUAGUUUGGAUAAGUUUCCAGUUCUGUUUUGUAUCUGGUUACAUUUCUGCUUGAGACAGAUUGCUGAUGUACUUCUGCAGGCAUCAUCUGUACAGCAUUUAGGAUGGGUGUCAGGGUGCAAGGAAGAAGCUGGAAAGGCAUCAUGUCAUACAUGUUGUCCAUGCCCUGUGUGCAUCAAGGGGCUCUGCAGCCUUGUCCCAUGUCUCCUGGGACUUGGGAUGCCUGGACUCACAGCCAGCAAAUGGGCAACCUGGGAUCAGACUGCUGAGAAAACAAUCCAUGUGGAAGAGGUUGGCUGGGAUCUCCUUUUCUCUGCCCAGCAGCUGCAGUCAAGCUCAGGCCCUUAACGUGGAUGUCUUCUCCAGCUGUGCCGCAGGAACGUCAGUGCCCAGCCUUGCACCUUGCUCAUCCUCACCCCAACCUGCUGACUUUCCUUCUCAGCUUGGC